GACGAACGCUGGCGGCGUGCUUAACACAUGCAAGUCGAACGGAAAGGCCCUGCUUUUGUGGGGUGCUCGAGUGGCGAACGGGUGAGUAACACGUGAGUAACCUGCCCUUGACUUUGGGAUAACUUCAGGAAACUGGGGCUAAUACCGGAUAGGAGCUCCUGCUGCAUGGUGGGGGUUGGAAAGUUUCGGCGGUUGGGGAUGGACUCGCGGCUUAUCAGCUUGUUGGUGGGGUAGUGGCUUACCAAGGCUUUGACGGGUAGCCGGCCUGAGAGGUUGACCGGCCACAUUGGGACUGAGAUACGGCCCAGACGCCUACGGGAGGCAGCAGUGGGGAAUAUUGCACAAUGGGCGGAAGCCUGAUGCAGAAACGCCGCGUGCGGGAUGACGGCCUUCGGGUUGUAAACCGCUUUCGCCUGUGACGAAGCGGGAGUGACGGUAAUGGGUAAAGAAGCACCGGCUAACUACGUG
rnacentral:rRNA from 1 species